rnacentral:tRNA from 1 species
GGGGUUGUGGCUCAGUGGUAGAGUACUCACCUAGAACGUGCGAGGCCCUGGGUUCCAUCCUCAGCACCA